rnacentral:lncRNA from 1 species
GGCUUUAAACCUGAUGGUUGCCCAUCCAUUCUUUGGAACUCCAAUGGUGUUAACUUCUGGGGGAUCAACCAAAUUGUAGGUCUUGGGUGAUGUUGUACUGUUAAAAUUUCCAGAACCAGUUCCAACCAAAUAGAAGCUGAAACCAUGCAGAUGCAUUGGAUGGUUCUCAGGUGUGAUGAUGUUGGUUCCUUGGAAGAUGAUCUCAACUCCUUCACCAUAUUCGAUCAUCCUCACCCUCGUCCCAAAGUCCGAAUAUAUUGUGCUGCUAGUCACGUCUCCAGUGUAGUUGUAAGGAUUAGGCGGAUUGUCCGGGAAAUUAGAAAUUUAAACUCCAUUGUUAUUUCCCCUGUACAAACGAAGUAAGGUCAAGUUUUUUCAUGGGAAUAAAUAAGGUUAAUUAAUCAAAACGUUAAUUGAUAAAUAUUGGAGUUAUGCUUUGGUGUUUCUCCAUUUCUUAUGAGACUAGUUACUUCCAUCAAUCUUUGAUCAGAAUAUAAUUAAUUUAGACUUCAUGGCACAUUAUAAAGGUACAAAAGCAUAACUAUCAUUCAAAUUGCAACUACAAGGGGACCAUUGUAAUUUUUUGGUGCACUCGGAACGCAGUCAUGCGACAUUACUAUUUCAUUCAAAUACACUAUUUUUAGAGGAACUAACUCAGUCAUCGGAGGUCCAUUGACCAAACCUCCCCCCUCCUCCCCACUACUCGUGGGCAUGGAAGGCUUUGGUCUUUGAUCAAAGAUGUUGAUUGUUUUGUAAGUACAUUUUCAUCAAGAAGAAUGGGGCAUAAAUUUCUACCACAUUCUACCUUUACAUCAUCCUUUAAAGAUCAUCUAUGAAACAAUGAAACUAGAUCUGAAGCCAUUAGUCAUCUAUUGGUUAUUCAAUAAAUAGACAGACCAUGUUUCUAACUUAGACGCUGAGAUUUUGAUAGCGUUAGCCGAACAGUUAAAUCAAACGAUUUUUUGAUUCGGUUGAUUCUUUGCAAAAUUAAUCUUUAAUAUGUGGUCUAAAAAGUAGGCUGAUCUGAUCAUCAAGCAACAUUGCAAGAUGAAGAUUAAUUCAAGCCGAAAAGAUAGAAUGAAAAAUGUUUAAAUGAGAUGGUUGCUAGCAUAUUGGGCUGGUACUGCAUAAGAAUGAAAGCCAUGUAGCUCUUUAAGAUGUCACAUUUACUUUUGGAACGAGCUUUUUGCGUGGAAAGAUUGAUCAUAAUUCAUAAAUCAGGCUUAUUUCAGGAUGAAGACAAACAUAUAUAGUCACUCAAAGGCAAAUACUUGAAUCUUACAAUUCUUAAUUAGAAAUCCACAGACAACAUUCUGGAACUUCCAAACCAAAGAAAUAUCUAAGAAUUGGAACAAGGAGGCAUAUAAGCAGGCGGAGGGCGGAUGCUGGUUUCUGUGGUAUUUCCAUUCCUAACUAUGAGCACAGUAUCCAUUCCCCAGCUGGUAUGUCUUUCCAAAUGACAAUGCAUAAACCAUACUCCUGCAAAAUCAUAAUCAAUUCAACAUGUAACGCACGUUACUUUGGUAGCUAUAAAACUAAGAGAGUGAUACUAUCACAAUAUGUAUUACCAACCCAACCAUAUUAUAAAAUUUUGAGUAUUUAGUAUUGUGCUAUAAAAUAUGGUCGUUCCCCAGUAGAGAGACCAUGCAUGUGACGUUGUAACGGUUACACUCAAAAUGAUAGAACUUACCAGGAUUAUCGGCUUUAAACCUGAUGGUUGCCCAUCCAUUCUUUGGAACUCCAAUGGUGUUUACUUCUGGGGGAUCAACCAAAUUGUAGGUCUUGGGUGAUGUUGUAUUGUCAAAAUUUCCGUAACCAGUUCCGACCAAAUAGAAGCUGAAACCAUGGAGAUGCAUUGGAUGGUUCUCAGCUGCGAUGAUGUUGGUUCCUUGGAAGAUGAUCUCAACUCCUUCACCAUAUUCAAUCAUCCUCACCCUCGUCCCAAAGUCCGAAUAUAUUGUGCUGCUAGUCACGUUUCCAGUGUAGUUGUAAGGAUUAGGCGGAUUGUCCGGGA